CUCUAGUAACGGCGAGUGAAGCAGCAAUAGCUCAAAUUUGAAAUCUGGCGUCUUCGGCGUCCGAGUUGUAAUUUGUAGAGGAUGCUUCUGAGUAACCACCGACCUAAGUUCCUUGGAACAGGACGUCAUAGAGGGUGAGAAUCCCGUAUGCGGUCGGAAAGGUGCUCUACACGUAGCUCCUUCGACGAGUCGAGUUGUUUGGGAAUGCAGCUCUAAAUGGGAGGUAAAUUUCUUCUAAAGCUAAAUAUUGGCCAGAGACCGAUAGCGCACAAGUAGAGUGAUCGAAAGAUGAAAAGCACUUUGGAAAGAGAGUUAAAAAGCACGUGAAAUUGUUAAAAGGGAAGGGAUUGCAACCAGACUUGCUCGCGGUGUUCCGCCGGUCUUCUGACCGGUCUACUCGCCGCGUUGCAGGCCAGCAUCGUCUGGUGCCGCUGGAUAAGACUUGAGGAAUGUAGCUCCCUCGGGAGUGUUAUAGCCUCUUGUGAUGCAGCGAGCGCCGGGCGAGGUCCGCGCUUCGGCUAGGAUGCUGGCGUAAUGGUUGUAAUCCGCCCGUCUUGAAACACGGACCAAGGAGUCUAACAUCUAUGCGAGUGUUCGGGUGUCAAACCCCUACGCGUAAUGAAAGUGAACGGAGGUGAGAACCGCAAGGUGCAUCAUCGACCGAUCCUGAUGUCUUCGGAUGGAUUUGAGUAUGAGCAUAGCUGUUGGGACCCGAAAGAUGGUGAACUAUGCCUGAAUAGGGUGAAGCCAGGGGAAACUCUGGUGGAGGCUCGCAGCGGUUCUGACGUGCAAAUCGAUCGUCAAAUUUGGG
rnacentral:rRNA from 1 species